AUAGUGUUGGGUAGAGUGUGGGUGAUUGUGAUAGUCAGAGAGAACUGGCAGAGAACUGGGUGGUACCUUAUGUGAACAGGGCCCAGAACUCUUCAACUGGUCCAAAAAGAGAGAGAAUUCCUGCCGCCCAUGAUGGUAGGAAAUUGAGGAUACAGAAAGAAUGAAUGGACAUAGCGGAAGUAAGAGAACAACAUUAAGAAAGGAAAAAGGGGUAAAAGAAUGAGACAAGAAAGAAGC
rnacentral:lncRNA from 11 species